GUUGCUCAUAGCGUGACAUCAGAUAAUAUAAAAUAUUGUCACAAUAUAGUUCUGUCAAUGUCAUAAAAAUAUGAUAUUAUACUAUGCCACUAAAAAAAUCAAGAAAAACGUUUUCAAAUGAUUUGACAUGAAAAAAAAAGAAAAAUUAAAACUCUUAGGUCAAAAAGUGUGCAGAAAAAAAGUCAUGGUACAUUAGAUUGAAAAAUAUCAUGGGAAAAAAAAUAAAAAAAACAUUAGGUCAAAAAAGGCCAUGGAAAAAGCAUAAAUAAUUUAUGUAAAAAAAUAUAUUAGGUCAAACAAUCUUAUGGAAAGGAAAUUUUAAAUACAUCAGGUCAAACAUUUUUAUGGAAGAUGAAGUCAAAAUAUAUUAGGUCGAAAAAUGUAAUAGAAGAAAAAGCCUAAAUAUAUGAGGUUGAAAAUUGGAUAAAAGUCCAGAUACAUACAAGAUAAAAGUAUGACAAACCAUGCUAUGAUUUCUAUGACUUUUUCAUGAUGAUAUUCAUUACAUUUCGAAGAUAUUGCUAUGGCAUUAUUUCAAAGAUUUAUCAUAUAUUAUGACAUGUUUCAUGAGCUGCUAUUUUAUGAGAUUUUCACAAAAAUAUUAUUGCAUGCUUUACUAUGACUUUUUAUGAGUUUUUUUAUGACACACUAUAUCAUGACAUUACAUUGCAUACUAAUCAUCCCGAAGCCACAAUCAAAGUAUCUGGAUCCUUUUGUUUUUCUUUAUCGGUUUAUUCCUCAUUCCCAUUUCGUCCAGCAUCCGCUGCUUGUCUUACAUCUCCAGUCGCCUGUGUGGCUUUUUGGCUGCUUCCCCACUAUUUUCUUGAGGAUGGAGACACAAAAGAUAACAAAUGAGCUCCUGAAAUGGGUUGUAAUUACAGCUUCUGGAACUAUUAAGUUCUGGACAUCAGAGAUAAUGGUAUUCUUGGGAAGCGUAAAUCACACCUAAUGGUGUCCGAAUGACCAUGUCUAUUACAAACCAUAACCAAUCAUUUCCUAGUUCAUAAGAAAGCUUAAGAGAGCCCUGAAUAUAAGAUAUUUCAUAUGCUCUCAAUAUUCAACAACAUUAAACACAACACAGCUGGUAAUGACAAAAAUAUACCUCCUUUAAAGCUUCAGCACCAAGAAGAUGUCUUCUCUGCUGGUCUGUAUAAUGGCCCUCUUCUGGACAUCGAUCCAGGUCGCAUAUCUAAAAGUGUGACAAGAAAAGCAGCUUUUCUAGCAUGCAAAAUAACAGUUACGUAAAAAUCAUUCCAAGACAAUGCAGUUUAAUGAAACGUAUUUUAUGAGUUCACUUCCUGCUUCUGAUACUGACAUGCAGAUACACUAUAAGUAUAAGUAAAACAUCUGAACAGUUCUCCUUGGUAACAUCUUAGUACUGUGCUUCAUACAAGUCCUUGUUCAAGGCUGUGAAAAUACCCCCGGAUGGAUGAAAUGGUUUCACUCCAGAUAGUAGCUUUCGUAGACAUUCAUGACCACGCUUGUGCGGACACACAAACGCACACCCACACACACACAUGCACGUACGCACACUGACAGCCUGAAAGAUGGGUGAGCUUGAAAGGAGGCUUGGGACUGGGGGGAGGGACGAAAGGAAAAGGAGAUUGGAGCAGAAGGCGACCGGUGAGCUACUGAGAUAUAAACAGGUGAAUGAUUUUCUGUUCCCUUCCAGAUUGUUUCCUCAUCUCUCAACCAGACCCGGCCCUCAGAGAGAUGAGCUGGGCCGCCAGUCCCUUCCUAAAGCGACGCUGGUAAACUAUGUGGCACAGACGUUUUGCUCAACCACUGUCGCUUCUUCUCCGUGCGCCACUGGCCAAGCUGGUAACAUGCACAGGCCUCUGAAUCGCAUUAGCUGUGGGGUUGUUGUUAACUGAUACAAGCAGAAGCCCUUCUUCAAGUAGUGCAACCUUUGUGUGCACGGAUCCCUCAGGCAGACAUGCACAUGAUUUGGACUGCAAGCGAAAACAUGAGUGUCCCGGAGGAACAAACACUCUGACCUUUACAAAGAUUCAUUUUUUUCCCCCCUCAAAGCGAUUUUGUAUCUUCUCCAUUUUCCAUUUCAUUUGGCAGGCUGAAAAGUAAUAAAUAAAGGGGGAUUUGAAGAGACAUCCAAGAGUGUUUUUUUUUCUCCAUUUGUUUAGUAGAUCGAAUCAGAGUUACUCCAUGGACAACAAUGCAGCCACUGCAUAGAGACCACGACACGUUUCUGAUAGAGGGAGUGUACAAUAUCAUGACGUAAAUAUUUUGUGUGAGAUGACAAAUUUAAAGUCAAAUAUUUGAAUAAAAGUUUGCUAAUGCAACUGCUCACACUUUCACACUCUUCCCAAUAUGCGUGAGCUCGUGCUUGCUUGCAUAUGGUAAGCAAAUCCUUUAAACCUGGAGGUGUCUAAUCUUUUAUGUGUUUUACAAUUAGAACUCCCCCUCCGGGAUUACAUCUGCUUAGAGGAAAAAAAGUUGUUUGUUUCCAGGUAAAAUUAGAAACUACCAAAUACAAGAUGUUUAAACAGGGAUUUGUGUAGCGAGUGAGGCUCUAUUCUGUCCCGUCUACAGUAAAAAGACCAAGUGAACCAACAGGCCAAGACAACAGCCAGCCUUUCACACGGAGCGGCAUUGACACCUCUCUGGGCCCGUCUCCAAGCUGCCAGUCCCAACUAGCCAGUCGCCUCCCCUCCAUCCAUAUCAUUGACUCGCCACUGACUUCAGCGCACUUUUGCCAAGCCCCUCUGAAAUGACGCAUUGUGCCUGGGGAGUUAUCAGAGAGGACAAUAUUCUCCUGAAACAGUCCUAAAGUGGACUUCAGAGAAAGGACCUGCCUGCUUUACUUUCUCUCUGCGGUUGCUAGGCUAGUUCCCCACACAGGAUCACUGGGGCCUUUAUGGGCGGCUGGCACCGACCCAGCCCCCCCCCCCCUUUGCCUCGGACUGUGAGUAGAAGAGAGAGUGGGCGCCGGAGGGAAAAGCCCUCCUCUCACUCAGGGUGGCGUGCUAGGACUUCCAAUGUUCCCGUGCCCACCUUCACUCCCACUGGCAUUCCCACAAGUGUGUCUGAUGGCUGGUUCCUGCGGCCCCGCUCCCGGGCUCUGACCUCAAUCCGUCUCGUUAAACCGUAAUUGGAAAUGAGCCGGCCGUUUACCUCGCCGGAUAUAUAUCUGUGAACCCGCCCUCCUCUGGGAAAUCGGCACCUGCGUGCUCCCUUUAUGAAUCAAACGCUGGGAUUUCUCACCUACCGCUAAACUCAUCUAGGCAGAUCUGAGGUUUUCACCGUCGCCGAGGUAUAUUUCAGAGAGCUCGCCCCAAGGCGCUACUUUACGGCUCAGGAGACAGAGGGGCGAAAUGACACUCGCUCCCACACUUUAUUCUUUGAGAUGAUGUAUUAGGGUGGGAUGCCAUACUCUGCACUGCAGCGGUUCGCCAUCAUUAUUCAUCGGUAUGAAUGAUUUGUAAUCAAUGCUUGCUGGUUUGCUGUUCAUUUUGGGAUAGGAGUCAUACUUCUGCUCAAUAUCUGGCUGUGCUGCAUUUCACACGAGGGAGUUUCCCGUUGCCAGAACAAAGGGGGAUUCUGGUUACCCUGAAGGCAACACUGGUACCAAAAGGUACAGCAGUAUCAGACUUCUGAAUGUGAAUGCUCGCGGGGUAAUCUGUGCUCAAGUGGCUCUGCCUCACCCAGAGCCCACAUUAGCAUGAAUGCAAUAAGCUCUCAAUGUCCCCAAGUCUCCUCUAUAGCAGAGACAAAGACACAUGUAGGAACAAACAAGGCGCUACGGUACAUACAGUACACAAAUACACACCAACGCACCACACUCUCUGACGCUGUCUUUCCCAUCCCUUUCAGUCUAAUCCAACCUGCAGACACGCCGCCUCCACCAGAUCGAUGGCAGUGUCCUUGGAAAUGAAACCUCAAGGUCGGCUUUCCCUAUGUUCCCCUAUACCUCUACCUGAGUCAUGGUGUCUGUUUGUAACAACUUCUUGGAGUCAACACAAUAAUCUAUCGGUUAACAAAAUGCAGAAAAAUAAUAUUAAAAGCAGAAAUAUAAAACAAUGACUCUUUCAUCUUGACUCUGAAUAUCAAAGAAGACACAGCUUUCUAUCAGGUUGAAGCACGCUGAGAUGAAUCUCAUACUUGAAUAAUAAUAAUCACAUUUUCUAAAUAUACAGCCGUGUUUAUCCCCAUGGCUGAGUCAAAUACAUAUUUAUAUGCGCAUUCCCGUACAUUCAUCCACAGUGUAAAAUGAAUAUAUAUCUAAUCCAUAUUUUGCCUCUAUUGUUUUCUAGGCAAUACAGAAUGCUACUCAGCCCUGAAAAUAAGCCACAGUGUGAGCAUUAUCAAACAGGUUGAGUCAAAUAAAGCUACGAUUGGUGUGUGAAAUUAAAUUCAUGUUUGAUCCCUCAGCACCUUUACCGUCUCAGAGAAUAUAACAUAUCUCAGUCCAUGUUUUUGGCAGUGGGGGAUACUUUGUGUGGGUAUGAGGUGGUUGCAUAUAAAAGGGACUUUUAUCAUAUUUCAGAUCUGUUACAAUCCUUUGCUAUCUGAGCAAGCAAGCUGCAAUCUACCAACACUGGGUCACUACACCAACUAAUAACAUUAAAUAUUAAAAUGUGUCCGGUUAGUAAAUUGAUCAAAAUGUAAUGGACAAUUUAACUUUCAUCAGAACGCAAAUGAAUGAUUGCAAACCGUGAUUAAUGACCACAACAAAGUCCUUCCUUAUUCCAGAAACAAGAGCUUCUUAGCCCUUCUCAAGCCAGUGGCUGACCUAUUUAAGUCUCAUAAUGAUGAUGAACUUGCCAUGCUAAUGACCAUUUCCCUAUUGCAUUAGGAAGUACUUCCUCUCACUGUGGCACAAUGGCGUUGGGUAACUGCAUAAGCCAGCAGCAGUAGUCUGACACAGAAUCAUCCGCCCACACAGCCCGGCAGGACGGAGCAAGAGGGCCACAACAAAUGACUCACUCAGGAUCAUUUUAAAUGUAAUGAACUCGCUGUAUAUUCCGGUCUGCAAACUAGGUUCCCGAUUCAACGUGAAAACAAAGACUAGAAAUAGAUUGCGAAGAUAGGAGGAUGGUAGAUAUCUCUUGGGCUGAUUAUUGUCUCCAUUUCCUUAUUCUAUGUAUGCAAACUCCAAAAACUGCCAUCAUUAAGACAGUAAAUGAGUUUUACAUCAUCUAUGUGCCGGAUUAGAGAUUUUUUGUUUAUUAACCAUUUCUAAUUAUGUGCAAGGUGUGUAAGGUAAUCUCCCCUGUCCCGCAUCCAUUAAACCUUGCAUUUUAACCCUGUGAGAUGUGAGCAAUCACUGUGUGAAUGAACAAUAAAUCCCGUUUCAGUGUUGGUGCUGUCUGUGAUUCUUGGGUUGUUUCUGAUCCACCCGUGAGACACUGUCACCGUCGAUCAGUUACUGGUCUCUCGGUUUCUCUGCCAUAUUGACAGCUGCUCUGAAGUCUCUGCUCAUCCUGAGUCCUUCAACGGAGCGGAGCGUCACAGACGUGGACAGUCCCACAACAUGGUUCUAAAGUGACGCAGACUGUCAGAGCUAGUGGAGCAGACGAGAGGAGCCGGAAACGGAUUAGUCCAUUUUGAUCUGCUUAGCUGCUACUCAGGGGAAUACAGGCAGGCCCACAUGAGUAGAUGAAGCAUACCGGAAUACUAAGGAAGGCUUGAAGGAAUUGGCUGACGCAUUGUAGAUACAAGAAAUAGACAAGCAAAGAAAACUAAGAAAGGGGAUGAGUAUGACAGACGGCAGAAACAAGUGACAUCGUGAUGAGCCCAGCCCAGUUUUGAGUAGAAGCUUGAGAUAGGGGAAGGUCACAAGUCUAAAAAGAGAUGGUGAACCUGCUUUUAACUGAGGUACCGGCUCGUAACUGAGGUACCUGCUCGUAAUUGAGGUACCUGCUCGUAAUUGAGGUACCUGCUCGUAAUUGAGGUACCUGCUCGUAAUAGAGGUACCUGCUCGUAAUAGAGGUACCUGCUUUUAACUGAGAGACCUGCUUUUAACUGAGGUACCUGCUCGUAACUGAGGUACCUGCUCGUAACUGAGGUACCGGCUUGUAACUGAGGUACCGGCUUGUAACUGAGGUACCGGCUCGUAACUGAGGUACCGGCUUGUAACUGGGGUACCUGCUUGUAACUGGGGUACCUGCUUGUAACCGAGGUACCUGGUGAAACAUUUGUUAGGUCUAGUGAUUGCCUUGGUGGAUAAAGGGUAAUUCCGUAGCCAAACCUUUCAUCCACAGACUCAACCAAGCGUUUUUAUUAACAUGCACCCAUACAAGCAAGAAGGAAAGCAGAAACUCAGGUUCCCUCUUUUCUUCCUUUAUACUAACCAUUACUUAUCCAUUCAAUCCCAAAUGUUCACUCAGUCUCAGCCCGGACCACUGGGACGGUACUGCAACGCAUCUCCCUGACAGGAGCCAUCUGCCUGCUUCUCCCUUCCUGUCAUUAGUCCAUCUAUGAGAUGUUACCAACACAUAUCAUUGGCUGCAAUCUGUCUGUCUGCCUUUGCCGCCAAGCAAACAUCUGAACAGCUGAACUCUCUGAUGGGUGGAGGGCUGGAUAUUUUUUCUGCCCGUCUGCCUACUCAGCAACAACUCCCCCUCCUUCUCUUUAUUCCGUCCCCAGUUUCAAUUUUUUUUUUCUUCUUUCCUUUGUUUCAUCUGCAGAGUCGUAAUCUCUGAUCUUUUUUUUUGUCUCUGUCUUCUCUUGUUUCUAUUUCCUUGUUCUCGCUCCACCCCCCCUCUUGGACCUCCUCCUUUCUAUUUGCUCAUUUAUUAGCCUGUUCCUGUGAGGGAGUGAGCGAUGUGCGUGUCGCCCGUGGUGGCAGAGGGAGCAGCAGAGCUUGACGUGAACAUACGCUGUGAGAGCUCCCAUUUAUAACUUAGAACUCCAAAUGAACAAAACGCCAAAUGCAACAUGGAUGCAAUUACCUUCCGGAACUCAUUUUCAAAAGGAUGAACUAAAGUACUUGCUCUCACAAUGUGGAAAAGUCAGAAUGGAUGCUAAUGGCCCAUUGGCAAAAGAAAAUGAUAGGAAAUUGAACUUUCACGUUAAAGAGGUUAGUACUUGGACUGUGCAACAUGUUCUGCUCUCUGGCUCCAGCUCUGGCAACGUGAUGCUGAAGGAGGCACAGCCAGUUUUGCCAUCUGCAUCUCUAACCUCACGGUUCAUGUCAGCAGGCAUGUUUGCACCCCGCUCCCUUGCUCCACCAUCAUUUCUUUGUUACCUCCUCUUGCUUGGUCACAUGUGAAAAACUACUCCUGGUAAGGUGGGUUUAUAAAAUUGUUUUGAAAACCUUUUUCUUCACACAUGGUUUCUAAAGGUCUCUUAUAUUAACUUUACCUUCCCGUUGGCAGUGGGUUAUACGGAAGGGAAUCUCACGUUAACAAAUUUAGAAAAGCAGUUGGUAGAGAUUCAAAUAUAAAUCUUUCUGACUGUUUGUCUGUUUGUGAUUUCUUUGUAUGAGAACUGUUUGUCAGAUCUACUUCCCACUUGGUUGGUCUAUAGCUUUGGUAGUGCCAUUUGGGCAGAUGGGGGCGCUAUAUCAACCUUCUUUAAGUAAAUAAAGAAAAAUAGCAAUAUUACAACCAUGGCCACUGCACUAGUGCGUAAGCUUGCGAACGUGUGGCUAGAAAAGGGGACAGAGUCCAAUUAAUCCGCAAGCUUUAGUGAUCAACUCGCCAUUUGUCAGCUGUGCCUCCAUCCACCUCCCCCCAAAAUGUAAAUGGUAAGGAGGUGUCAGCAGGUUAAUUAGCAGGAAGACUAUGGUCUGGGGCUUGGAGACGGCGGAGACAAACAGGAGGCGCUCCCUCUCCUUGGCCCCUUCCUCACUGACAGAUGCUGCUACCGCCGAUGCCGCGACCCCACUCAGCACACUUCUGGAAGGAAAAAAAAAACCAAACAGACAUUUGGAGGGACAGGAAGGCAGUGAAUAGAUGACUAGGGAGAUUUUAUCUGCUCCUGAAAAGGAAUUUGUCUCGCUGUUGUUUAUGCCCAUAAAGCUCCUCAGUGGUGGAGUGGUGGUCUACGGGGCUACUUGUUUGGUGAGGUACUUUAGUGAGAGUUAGAAAGCCCCCCCACCCACCUCCUUCCCGGGGACCUUCCAUUCUGACUGACAGAUCUCAAGGUCAUUCAGCCAAGAACAACACAACCUGACUGGAGACAAUAGAAUAUUAAGUGGCAUGAGUGACGCGUGAUGGCUGUAAUUUAGUUAUAUUUAAAGUGACAGUGAGCUAUUGUGGAAAAAUCAAACCUAAGACAAAAAGGUACAGAUCAAAUGGUGUCUUUAAGCUGUGCAGUGUAGCGUGGCUUGACCACAACGGUGGUCUAUUGUGGGAGGUAUGCGGCAGGCGGGUGGAGGUACAGCCCUUUGAUAGAGUGGCUUCAUUACCUGAAGUGAAGGGCAAUCUGGCAUCAUGUAGAAAGAGAAAGAAGUAAAGAAAUAAAUGAAAAGAGGGAGAAGGGUACAUUAGUAUGGAGGGACUUCCUAUUGAAUACGAGUUUAAAACAAGCCCACUACCCUGAAGAUACAACAAGCCAUCUUUGAUGUCUUUAUUGUAAACUGCAAAUAAAGUAAAUCAUUGAGACAAAGGCUCCCUUGGAAGAUAACGGGUCUAGAAAGUCCUUAAAAAUGCUUUAUCUUUUGUGGGGGGCGGGGUCGGCGGUGGGGGGGGCCCCCUCACAAACAUGUCAGACUACACUUAUUCUACCACGACAGGUCAACUUUUUAUCUUUUCAUUGAUCUCUCUGUCUCGAGCUUCCAAUCCGGUAAACAAGAUGCUACAGGCAUUACCCUCCACGAGUGUAGCGGUUCUGGUUACAUUAUCAUGGGCACACACACACACAUAUGGAGUGGAAAAAGUAAAGCUAUACCUCCAUGGAUAAAGCUUUGUCGGUGGAGUAAUGGGCUUUCCUCAUGGCAAGGGACCAUAAUAUCCUCUAAAGGGGUUUAAGCUGCAGACUGGGGAAUGAGGAAUAUGGUGCGGCGUGGGGGAUGUGAAAUGCAGAGACAGACUGUGAAGCACCCAGGGACUGGAUUCGGUUUAGCAUCUAUGAUAAAUUGAUGUCUUUGUCUUCAUUUUCUCCUCGUUGCUGUUAUUCUCCUUCCCUGCUCCCUCUGUCCUUGCCUGUGAGAAGGCAGCCCGCUUGGCGUACUCAGCGCCGAGUAAUGAGCUUGUCUGUCAUUGCUGCUCGGCCACCGGCCACAGUUCAUUCCACUGGACGGACAGUGGGACAUGGGGGGGGUGGGGUGGUGAGCAGAAAACUAAUGGGGAUAAUCAAUGCUACUAUAUCUGAUGACUUCAUCCUCUCCCCCUGUUUGCUUUGAUUUAACGGUUCAUAGUUCCUGAGGUAAAUAAAGUGGGUGAGACAGUGAAUCAAUAGGACUGUAAAGCAUGUUGAAGAAAGCGCUGUGGUCAGUUGAAGGGAACACUGGGGAUCAGUGCGGACUGAAGGACACAAGGGCAGGCAGCCGUGAGAGAGCGAUACGCGAAAGCGUUCUCAUCUGAGCCGACCUCACGCUCGGGUGAACGGCCCCAGCGUAGAAUUACUUCUCAAUCUGAAUCAGCGCACGGGCCACUUUUCAGGUCCUCUUUCUACCCGCUCGCUUUUGUGGCUGCAAUAUUUCUCAUUAUCGCCGAACAAAAAUGCAACUCAUCUGCGAUCUCAUGAGCUACACCGUCCAAAUGAAAAGUGGCUGGAAUAGACCAAAGUGCAUUUAGAGUCACAAUCACGACUACACAUCCCCUCUUAAUUUGCGGCAACAAAGAAGAAAAACAUGAAUCAAUGGAUCAGAACAAAAGGAGUCAGCGGAGACAAUAUGUGAUCAUAAUCUUUUCUGUUGGGCUUUUUAGAGCGCGCUGUGUGUGAGGCCGGAUGCUCCUAACAAGGCAUGGCAUUUAGAAAGAAUAAUAGGAACCUAGUGUGUUCUCCUCGUGGGCUGGUGCGGCACAAUUCCAUUAGCCGUCCUCCUCCAGCUGAGAACUCUCUGUCUGUCAUUCAUCACCAGCUGCAGCACAACGCGGUAACAACGGCGAUGGAAAUCAAGCCUCCUCCGUGUGUCUCUCCGACUCUCUGAGCCUCCCAAACUUUCUCCAUCAUAAUCAACCUCUAAUUCCUGCAGUAUUCCAUUCCAUGAGCGAAUAACGGAUGGUAAAUAACGUCCUUUCAUGACAAGCUGCUUCCUCUUGGUUCUACAAUUUACAAAGAGGAAGGGCUGAAUGGCAACACCGGUGGCAGCGCCUCCACUUCAAUCCACUGAAACUGUCACAACUUUUGCCGCGAAAGUUAUCAUUUCAAAUGGCUAUUCUAGGAGAGAGCGACCUUCACACAGGAUCUCUCUCUCUGUGAGGGCAGUGUGUAAAGCACCUUUUCCCCUCUGCGCCACGCCGAGCUGCUUUGUGUCUCCAUGAAAAAGAACACGCAACAGAGUGUAACUCAGUGAUGGAGUUUCCACACGCAGAGCUUCUGUAAAAUACUCUUUGAACACUUGCAGCUGCUCCUCUCUCUCUCUCCGUCUCUCUCUCCCCGUCUCGCUCUUUUGCUGUGUGUGUUUCUUAUUAUUUCCUUCUCGCUCUGUGACUCUCACCUUAUUUUUCUAUCUAGGAAUUCCUCUCUUUCCCAUUUGCUCCUCCUGCCUUUCCUGGGUCUCCGUUUGCCGUUUGAGUGACAGAUUUGGUUUGGGGUUCUGACGCUGAAAGCGCCGGUUCUAUUUCACGGGUUUCACUCUGAUCCAGUUGGGGUCGUGACUCUGACAGCCGGAGUGUGAUCUGAUCCUGGUCUCCACCAUGGUUACGUUCUGUCUGCGCGCCUGGAGGUCACGUAUUCCAGCGUUGCUCCCAGCAGAUGUCAAACACAAAGACAGGUUCUGCAGACGCACAGCGGACAGCCAACUUAAUAAAAGUCACUGUGGGGAAAAAGAGCGUCACAAACGCACACAUGUGUACACGUUCUUAAUCGCCAAGUUGAAAGAAAUCGACAAUAUUCUCCGGCCGCCGUGCGCUUGUUAAGUGUAAAAAAAUGUGUGUGCGUGCACGAGAAUAUACCUCACCGGCUCUCUUGUGGGCCACUGGAUGGCCAUAAACACAAGGACACGUUAAAUAACAGUCUCAAUGUGAGGGGGGGGGGAGCCUGGUCCCAGAGAGGCCGUGCGUCCAUGUGCGUGCAAUGGGGAGGAGAGCCUUUGGGGGGCCGGGGGGGCAGAGCGGCCCCUGGCAGCUCGGAGGGAGAGACGGUCCAAACGGUCCUUUUGGCCCAUUGUUAGGCGGGAUAAUCCAAAAUCUGGCAACCAGCAGCAGCGCCGUGUGGUCCUGUCAAAACACAGAGGAAGAAGAUGGAGCGAAGACCGGAGUAGAGUAUCCUGGCUACGGCGGAUGCCUGAGAAACAUCACAACUGCAGGACAUAAGACUGUGUGGCGGAUAACUGGAAAAUGAACCGCUGAAUGUUUUUUAUAUAUCAGUGAGAACUACAUGCUCAUAUUUAUGCGUAUUCAUAUAUACAAAGAUGUUUGUGUAGGCGUUUGCAAGGAUGGUUUCAAAGAAAAAUGUGCAUUUUAGUUUGUGUGUGUGUGCGCAGGGUGGAAUUCCGGUAAAUAAAGAUUGCCGGGUGAAAUUGCUCCGACAAGCACCGACUGAAUCCGCCUCUAAGUGAGUGCGAAGGACAGUGCGAUAUGCAGCGAGAGAGACGAGAUUGUACCACAUUUCCGCAACCUCGGGGAAUGUCCACUGCUCCAGCUCGUGAACACAACAAGGAAAAAAAAAACAACAACGCGUGACCUACAUGCAUAACAACCCUAAAUCCUCCCAUUCAAGUGGCUGAUGUGAGCUGACAGUGCUGGAAUAGGUGGCAGGAAAACCAGAAGGGACGAUAACUCUUCAACCCAUGUCAGGUCACGUGUUACUUCCUCCACGUGUCACAGGGAAACAGGGAAGAGGUGAGUCACCAGAGCUGGCGGUUGAUGCAUAGCGUGUCCUAAAGUGUGCCCCCCUUGUACCCCUGUGUUUGUGCGUGCUUGUGCUCAAGCCAGCCGCAGAGUGUCUCUGAUGGCUUUCAGACGCAUAUGUUUGUUCUCCACUAGGCUCAAUAUAAAUGAUCCAGCCAAGCGGCGCUCUCAUCGCUCACGGGCUGAGCUCCUGUACCAUUACUCAGCCCCGAUCGUCCGGAUCACCUCGCCACUCCCAGCGAGAGACGGCAGGGGGACAAAUGAGCGGAGAUAAACAACCAAACAGCCAAAUUUAAAGUGGAGCGACGAGAGCGGGAGGAGCGGGGAAAGGGGGAGGAGCGAAGAUACGACGAAUGGGGGAGAUGAGAGAGCGAUGGAAUGUAAAUCAUUUACCUGGAGAACCGUACUGUUUAUUCUCCCGUUUGUCUCGGGAGAAAAUAACUAAUUGAUCUGUCCAUUGUGUGAUUACCUCUCAUCACGGCUUGAUUGACUGGCUGUCACAUGCACUCACUCUCUCCGAGUGCUCCAACGCCCAGUGCAUCCGUCACUAUCACACCGCACGCGGCGUGUACGGGCGCGUGCGCCCAAACGCAGCGGCCCUGACAGGCACCUAUCACACCGCAGCUUCACUACGCUCCCCCCUGGGGACGCCGGGAGGGGAGGCAGAUAUAGAAGUGGGGGGGGUUUGACAAAUGACGACGCCAUUGUUUGGAUGGGAAAUGUCAAGACUGGGAGCGUCCCGGGCCUGCCGACACAUUGUGGGGUACGGGAUGUAAGGGAUGUCACGGCGGAGGAGGAAGGGGAGGGGGGGUGUUCCAGAGACAAACGCCGGGACGUGGCGGAUACACUUGAAGGCCGGUCAUCGAGCGUUCAUGACUGACAUUGCUCCUUUGUGAAGGCCCUCAGUCCAGGUUGCUGAUAUCUGACCUUGAACCAACAGUAGUUGGACAAGUUUCCUCGACUAUGAAAGGACAAAGGAACACGUCUUGCUUCGUGAGCGCCGCAUUAGGCAGUCGGCACAGCUCCGGCUGAGAAAUGGGUUUGACCCCGGCGGCGGUCUGAGGUGAGCCUCCGUGCGCCGGGGUCAGCUGAGCCGAGGUUGUGUGCUGACGGAGGCGGUCAGACUAGCCUGAGAAAAGAGCCAAAUGGAAGAAAGGAAUAAGGGAGGGGGAAAAAAAUCCUCCUAUAACAGCUGAAUGUGGGGGGGGGUCAAGAGGCGUAUUUCAUAACCCUCUGUGGACGCUCAGGGAAUUAGAAAUUUUCGCCACCAGAAUCAAAAUGUGUAUUACUCCUCUAUCUUUAUAGCAUCAAUCACCUGUAUUUAUUUUUUAUAUAAAUGCACAUUGAGAUAUAUGUUAUUAUGGAUGCAGAAAACAGCUGAUAGUCAGUAUGUCAUUUACGCUCGAUGACUGUUGACAUUGGGAACGCGAGCCUCUCGUUUCUGACGUAUCGCAUGGUGAGUGCUCCAGUGUUCAUGGAGGCAGAAUGAGUCCAGCCGCCUGUCGGGGUAACUGCAGGGUCAGAGGUCACGUUGCGAUACGGAUGGCGGAAGGAGAGCCGCUCCGGGCAGCAGUCUCAUGGCUCGCAACUCUUUGUGGGCGAAGGACGGGGCACGCCGACUGACUUGUUUUCUUAUUAGUUGCCCCCCCCGCUGCCUACGUGACUGUUAUCGUCCCGGCUUUUUCAGUCUGGAUGGGGCCCCAGUGGAUAGAGGGGAUGCAAAUCAUCCAACCGCGUGUACACGGAGGCCGACCCCUUGAGGAGAGGCAGAAGAUGCAAACCGAAACUGACCCGAUCUGAGGGGUCAAUUCUUACUCGUCAUAAUCUGCUUUCGCAUCCCAGAAGUUCCAACCGUUGACGUUUCCCUGUAGUUGCUGCAGUGUAAAAUCAACAUGUUACUCUUGUGUGAAAUACUGGUAUUUAUAGUGAAUGGAAAUAAAACCCAUUUCGACAAUAGCUACAAAGCUAUUGACUCUUUGUGUCCUGAUUGACAUGGAAACCUGUCUGCAUUCCUCUCCCAGGAAAUAACUAAACAAAAGCAAAGAAAAGGGUUCAGUUUAAGAGACUCCGCAUACAGCGCACACAUCUGGCAUCUGUUUCCUUUUGCAACUUUGCCAAAACUUUUUCAAGGAUAGUGAGGAGACUGGGACUGAUGUGUUCGAGCUCCAUUGGACUUCUGCAACAGGAAGGAAGAGGGAAACAGAUAAAGGAUGUGAACGCGCAGACACACAAAGCUGUUCAAUGGCAAUUACCGCGCCGUGCCUGGCACAGCUGACAGCGUGAGGGGAGCUCGCCCAACGUGUUUUAUUCUUGCAAAACAAAAGACAAAAGACACGAGCAACAUGUACAAGACCCCAACUGCCAAAGCAGCCCACAAACUGUAGCCUAUUGAUGGAAACAAGCCCGAGCUGAUGACCCCGUACAUGGACGCUAUGACCUCUCAUUAACCCCCGACAUUUUCCCAGGAAGGGUUGACAGCGAGUCAAAUAGAGACAUUAACAUUCCUUCUUGCUCGUCUCCCAAAGUCAAAUCUUUCAUCCCUACCUCGAUCAAGCCAGCAACGCGACACGCCGUCCUCUUGGACAACAACCUGGCAUUCCUUUCACUUCAACGCCAUUCCAGUCCCCCGAAGCGCUUCUUCGCAUCUCCACCAGCAGCUGGCAAACGGUGAACUGUGAGUCCCCUCGCUGCUUGUCUUUGCCCCCCGUCCAAAACACCCCACCGUCACAACCACCACCUCCGCCGCUUUUGUCACGGUGUCCCGCCACACCGGGAUUGCAGGAAGCGACGAGGGGAUCGGGGGGGAGCCGCGGUGUGGGCUGUGUCUCUCCGACGCCGCUACUAAUGAGCUGUAAUCUGGAGCAGCAGGAGGCGAUGCCUCCUCAAAGAAAUUGCCGUUGCUCGGUACAUUUGUUCUCUAAUGGCGGAGGCGGCGGCAGAGCAUAGGUGCUCAUUGCGGAGAACAAAGGGGAGCAGAGGGAGAAGGUGUUAGAAACAACUUUCGUGGGAGAUCAGGAGCUUCCUGUGAUGUGCAUCCGUGAGACUCAAAGCAGGAUGGCGGAAGUUGUAAAAAAAAAGUUCAAAAGUGGCUUCUCUAUUUGUCAAACGGGUGGGUCCAGGGAGCAAUGGGUGGGCCAUUGUUUCUCUUUUCCUGUGCGCAUUUUCCGACAAACUAGCUCUUGUUUCAUAAAAAGAUUCACCUACUCUGUCGGACUUCAGCCCAGCAGACCCCUCGCCGUCCCACCCCCCCACCAUGUGUGUCCUUGUGUUUCAUCACCCACAGGGGGUCGGUCUCCGACUUUUGCCAUCCGGCUCGGAUCUUAUCACAGAGGGAAACAAUGGAAAUGGGAAACAAAGCUGAGAGGUUUGCAAUUCAUUUAAAAAUAAAAAUACUUCUAUAUUAACCAUGUUAUUUAUCCACAGCCAUUAAAACAUCACACCACCUGUUUUAGAAACAAAAGGUCUGCCGAGAAGGAACGCUUUCAUUUCCAUUCAAACCUACCUCGGUGUCACAGGGGUACCAAAGAAAAAAUGCUUCGAAGGAGAAAGAUGAAACGAGGAGAAGGCAAAGAGGGAGGCUGAGCUGUAUCUUCCACCUCAGGGUAGCCUGCUAAAAGCUAUCUGUUCCCCUGGUGACCGAGCACAGCACACUUUCUGAGGUUGGAGAACUGAAGCUUAAGCUUGUGCACACACACACACACACACACACACACACACACACACACAUAUACACACAUAUACACACUGCUCCCUUGCCCUCAUCCGUCUUUUCACCAUCCAUUUUUCCCCUCCUCUUUCAAUCAUUUCCCAUACAGUAGCUUUGCACGGCCCCUUCACCCUGCCUGUCAACACUUCAUUAGCGAGCAUCUGUUAGUAAGUCAUUUCAUAUCUCUGCUGUAGAAAAAUGGGGCCUCCUUCCCUCUCUCCAGUCUGCUCAUCAAAUGGGGGAAAUAAGCCAGACCAGCCUCAGCCCCUUUUAUUACAUGUCAGCAUCUCUGCCUUUCUUUUUUUUUGUCUGGGGAAGAGCUUAUACCCCAGGCCAGAAAGGGAUGCAGCAGCAGGGGGGGGGGGGGGGGGGGAAAUGGAAGAUUAAUCAAUUGGGAGAGGAAAAGGAGGGAGCUCUGGGUAUCUCAUCCCUCAAACCACAGGUGUUUCUUUAAUACCUUGCUUUGUUGGAGGUGAUGAGGAAAUGAGCGGGGUGUAUUUUUUUCUCUCUGCUUUUUACUCUUUGUCUUCCCUCCAGGACUCCAGCAAAUUCUCUAGAUUUCUCUCCAUUUGAGACCAAGCCAAUUUCAUCCACACUUUGCAACAUAUGGCGAAGCCCCCCCCCACCCCCAAUAUGCCUGUCGCCGCGCGCACAAAGGCCACUUCCUUAAUAUAUUCUAGCUAUUACAGGAUUCAUCAAAAAUUAAAGCCGCAGUCGAAGGAAGGCUGCAGGGCAACACCAAACUCCUGAAGCGGGAUUCACGCUUCAGAUACAAGAUGGAGAUGAAAAUCUGGUGUGUUUUAUCAUAUUCAUACAGAAGCACACGUCCACAUAUGGUGGGAGGAAGCUCGGUUGCCCUGUUUGUAGCCGACAGGCUGUUAUGUGUGACUCACUUUGUUCAUAUUCAACAUGCCGAGCUGCUGCCACCCGCCCUCCUUUUCUUUCUCAUCUCACUUGAUGAUGAAUUCGAGUAAUAAAGGAGAUACAUUAGCAGAAGAUUGUCUUUUUUUCAUUUAACUGGGAGACAGAGAUAUAUUGAUCAUGUGGUGAGACAUCACAAUCCGUCUUGAAUUUCGACCGGUUAUACAUCAGCUGUGAUGUACAACCCUGGAUGUGGAAAUAUGUAUUCUUCUUCUUUAGCAUAACAUCAGAUAUUAGACCUUUUUAUGACCCUCAUACAGAUUUACUAUGCAAGCUGUUUUCCACCAGGAAUCCCUGGAUUUCAUGAGAAAAGCAUCCUAACCGUGCACCACGCAGAUUUACUGUUGCUUCGCUUCAUAUCCAAUGCUCUCAGAAACCUGGCAUCACGUCCUCCUUUUUGUCAGGGGAUAGCUGUGCUUAUAAAUCCUGCUGACGGAUCUUUGAUACUUAUUCCCCCUGCAACACAGGUGAGUCCCUCAGCAGCAUCUUAUGCAUCCUCUCUGGUGCCCAAUGCAAUUUGCAUUAUAGCACGGUGUCUUUUUAUUCCGGGUUAUAGUAUAAAGACCAGACUAAAAACAGACCAGUUUGAGAGGUAAUCUGGACCACAGAAAAAGAAAGAAGGCGAUUAUGUGGGGAAACGGUGGGGUAUCAUGUGGGAUCUUCAGCGGCAGGGGAGCACCUGCGCACAACUGACCUGCUGUAUGUGUCUGUUAAAUCCCCCCCCCCCCUCUCCACCACCCCCAGGUACCAGCGAAGCGUGUGUUUAUGUGAGUGCAUACGGCGUGAAAGCGCGGUGUUAGAAUCUUGUUGACUGAGUCUGCACACCUGUCUGCAUUUGCAGGACAAGGAGAUCGGUUUGUGUGCACUUGUGACAGAGUGUGUGUGUGUGUGUGUGUGUGUGUGUGUCCAGAGGUUUCCAGACUGGGAGGAAUAGACAUACACAGGUCAAGCCUGAAGGCAGCUAGGGGGAUGUGGGCACCAGGCUGUGACCACCAACAGUUUUUGGAGGGCUUUACUGCAUCGUUCCCUUUCCUUUUCAUCCCUUUCCUCGACAUCGUCCCCCUGUUCGGUGCGAGCGAGGACACAGAUGGUCUCAGUCUAUCUGCCAUGUCUGUCCGGCAGCAGGAACAUUUCCCCGUUAACUGUUCUUGGCUCAACAGGCGGUCCUAUACUUCCUACACUGCAUGCUGGCAGUAAAUAGGUAGUUCAAAAUACUUACAUGACACAUAUUGAACACUCGCGAGUCCGUACGAAAAAUCAACAUUUUGAUUAAGUGCUUAUUAGAUCUCUACAACGGUCAAAGUCAUUGAUGUGAGCAGCUUAUUGGUGUGAACGAAAAAGGCAUGAAGUCUUAGUUGAGAGCCGUCCCGCACGUGUCCGAAUUUCACGGCCUGCCACAGAUCCACGGUGUCAAGAGACAGGCGGCGGCGCCCAGAGCGGCGGCAGACACACACGCACACACACAAGCAGACGGACAAAGAGGGACUUGAUCGUUGUCGAUGUGUGGAAACACAUCGACAAAAAAAACUUUUUUUUUCAAACCAUUAAACCCAAUUAUAUCGUAAGUCACCAUUACCUAAACAGGACAACUUCCGUUUGUCCUCCAAGAGAACUAAGCCGGAUUUAUCUAUGUGUAAAAUCUGCUCUGCUCUCAUCCAAAGCACAUUGUUUUGAACCUUUGCAAGCUCCCGCUUUUCCAUAGCUGGGGGGAGCGGAGGAAACCACAUUUUUGGAUGGAAUCCAUUUUGUCUGUCAGCUAAAGGAGGACAUGUUCCUCACUUAUCAAUGGGAAGGCAUUUGUGAGGGAGACAGUAGCCGUCCUAGAUCUCAAGGCAUCAUGUGUUUAUUUUUGUGUUUGCGUAACUAUAAUAUUUACACACGUGCACGGAAGUCAACUUUUUAUUUAUGUGACAAGAUCUCUGUCCGGCCGCCUUACGUAGAGAAAUACAUCUACUGAACCAUCCUUUGUUUCUGGCUGAACAUAAGGGGAGUUGAUUUAAAUGAGUUCCUAAAUGAUAUAUAAAGCAGUAAAUCUUCAUGCAUGGAGAGCUGCGGAAACCACACAAGGACUGCCAGGUGAAAAUAAAAGGGGGGGGUGGAGGGACAAUGUUAUUUACGGUGACGAUGACACUCUUUUUUCCAGUCCAGGGGAAACGAUGGGCGAGCUCCAAGUACACACAGCAGGUAAUGAGGAGACGUCUGCAGGGAGAACUUUCCAUUCACCAGUUAAUUGUAAAACUGUGACACACUUUUGUACGCGUGUAAAAAAAACACACACACAUUCACAAAGCAGCACCGAACACAACGAUUCACAGCAUUAAAAGCUUGCUUUAUUAUUAGGGAAAUGCGAAUAUUUGUAAUGAGAAAUUCUGGCAACAUCUGAGCCGUAAGAAGCCUUUGCAAUAAACACUCGGCCAACGCGUCACCGGCUACAUGCUGAGCGGCUGCAAAGCGAGGCAGAUAGGUGUCAUAGAUCAUAUUCAUGCCCCACAUCUUGAAAGCCAUAUCAAUAUUCCACGUCCAUCCAAGUGUCUGGCCAUGAGAGAUGAUUGAUGCCUUUCUGCGGCCGUGGUUGGAAACAGAGCCCGGGGAGACGCGGGGGCGGCGUUGAGUGAGCACGCCUGCCUGUACAACACAGAACUCCAUUUACCCACAACACAAGCACAAGACGGAUCACUCCGCCGGCCCCGGCGUUAACCACGGUGUACGCGCACGUGUGUGUCGCCGUUGAUGGAUUCGCCGGGAACACGCAGGUGGGGGAUUCGCCGACGCCUGGGUGAUUCUGUGGACAACAUUUGAAAUGUGGAUUGAUAAUGUAUUCGUUUUGGUCGGGGCUGCAGAUAUUACUGCUCCCUAAUGGCACUUUAGACGAUUGUUAAUGUUUAGUAUUCUGAAGUCAGCCCACCAGAUUAAUUAUUCACAAAAAAAAACAUUACAUACAUAUGAUCCAUUUCAGGGUUCCUCUAUGCAAAAUGGAAAAAGCGAGGCUGUGGAUUUAUAAUUACAAUCAUUUGUUUUUGAUGGUUGCAGCGUGUCAGCACACAAAGUAUACAAUAUUAAUGCAUGGAGGAACAAUUCAAUCAUCGUGUUGGAGGUGGGAUAUUGCAAAAGUAUACAGUCAUUGACUUUAUAUAAUAUAAUAUUAGUGAAGGUAUUACUUAACUAUCCUUCACUACAGAUCUAUUUCAUCAGUCAGAGACUAAAAAACCCGACCAGCUUUCCAGUGGACCUGUAUGCGUGUUUUGAACACAUUUGGAUGCAUCUGUGAGAGUCACAAAUAUAAAACAUUUAUAAAGUGGCGUCAGUGAAGACAUAUGGCAGGUAAUUUACAAUGCAGCAUGCGUAAUACUCAAUUUAUUUUAAAGAGGCAUUACUCUUUUCGCAUUGCACCUGUAAAACUUGUAGCUUUGCCCUAAAAGAAAAGAUAUGUGAUAUGUAUCAUCUGCAUUUUUGUUUUCAUUUAUUUACAUCUUCAUACUGCGAUAUUACAUUGAUAUACAUUAUGUUAUGUUUAAGCUGCCUUUGCUGAGCUUAGAUAUCAGUUCAUCAGUCCUUGAGUUUUAAUUAUUUUGAUGCUUAACUUUCAGGGGUGUUCACCUGAGACUUUCUAUUUGACAUGUUGUACUAUGUACUCAUUAGCAAGUGCCUAUACUAUUUCAAGUGUUGAUUCUUUAUUAUGUUACGCACUUUUUCAGCUUCUCCGGUGCUCAGUGAUCAUGCAUCCCUUUCGGUUUUCAAUCUCCUCCAUCUUUCCUUUCCGCUGGCAGCAUGUCAAUUCUGGAAUUUUCCAUUUUCCUGCGCUGCUUUACAUGCCCUCUAUUUGCCCUCGGCGCCUUUCCCCCCUUCAGAGAUCUCCUGACUGAGUCACCUGCCUUCCCAGCUGGUAUGAGGAGCUAUUGCCGUUUUUCAGCGACUGCACAUUUAGACUAAAAGCCCGUCUGGAACCAAUUUCACCCACGUGUACCUGUUAUCACUGACUCCCACACAAAUACACUGUACGCACAACUUGGAAGGACAUAGAGAGAAGAUAGUGUGUCUGUGUGUGUGUGUGUGUGUGUGUGUGUGUGUGUGUGUGUGUGAAGGGGGGGUUGCGUGCUACCAAAUGAGUUCGAAGACAAAACAAAAAACAAUAGAGAAAAGAGAAAGCUAUGCUUCUAUUACGGAGCCUGAAGCCCUCGUCUCAGCAUACCAACUCAUUCCUUUCACUUAGAUAUUCAACCAAUGUUCUUUGCUGCCUUGUUUAGUUGUGUGCCCGCAAAACAAAGGAGGGCUGGCAGAGUUUCAGCGAGAUGCACAGUUUUUCCUACAGUAUCGUCUCUUUGGUGCGAUGUGUUUUGUUGGAUAGUGUGCAAAUGACAGUUAUAAGUAAAGAGUUACGAGCUUCUACGUGGCAGAUUUAUGUGACCACAACUCCCUCUCCACAUGUUUCCUGUUUCUCCUUAAGUACACCUAAUCGCAAUUAAAAACGGUCCUAUUGGAGAACAGAACUUCUUAAAGACACAUUCACUCUUCAAACAAAGAAGCCAUUUAGAAAAAGGCAUUUACACGUUAUAUAGGGAGAAAACAGCCCCCGGUUAAUGGAGGGGUUGCGUAUCCCGAACCAACACGGUGCAGUUUGUGGAAUAGGGGAAAAAAGGAUGCUACUGCCAAUGUGCCCCUAAGCAAGGCACCCAACCUUUUAUGGCUCGGAAACCCAUCAAUUAGAAAUUUCUUGAUGCAUGUAUUUGAU
ensembl:lncRNA